rnacentral:rRNA from 1 species
GUAUCCGACCGUGCUAAGGUAGCAUAAUAACUUGCCUCUUAAUUAGAGGCUGGAAUGAAUGGACCCACGAAAAUACAACUGUCUCCACCCCAAAAAUAAAAACUAAGCUUCAAGUGAAGACGCCUGAAUUAGACUAAAGGACAAAAAGACCCUGUUGAGCUUUAUCUACAACAAAUACAUAAAUUUAUUAAGAUUUAGUUGGGGCGACUAAGGAAGAUAAAAAGCUUCCUUUCAAAAAGACUAAUAGGUCAACUAAAAGAGCUAUAAAAAUAAUCGAAAAUAUAGCUACCACAGGGAUAACAGGCUAAUCCUCCUCAAGAGCCCAAAUUGACAGGAGGGCUUGGCACCU